CUCUUUAACCUAUUAACUUUAUAUAUUAAACAACAGGAAUUCACAUUUGUAUACAGUACAUUGGGAAGUGUUCUAGCUACCGUAGUCUACUCAAUGUACUGUCAUGCAUUAUGUUUGGACAUAGUUGAAUUAUGUUCAAGAGUCGGGCGGCGUGUUACAACAUUUCAAUCUCAGAGAUUUUUCGGGGAUUCUGACUAAACUAGUAAAGAAUCGUGGUAAGCCAAUGCUGCUAACGUACGCGCACCUAUCUACAUUACCGUACAGUACAUUAUCUACAUGACGGGGGGGGGGGGGGUCACUAAGAUUUCUGCUCUAAUCUAGGGGUGGGCCACCUCAAUUUAUUGUCACAAUUUGGG